GCUACCAUGCAAGUCGAGCGGUAGCACAAAGAGCUUGCUCUCGGGUGACAAGCGGCGGACGGGUGAGUAAUGUGUGGGAAACUGCCUGAUGGAGGGGGAUAACUACUGGAAACGGUAGCUAAUACCGCAUAACGUCGCAAGACCAAAGUGGGGGACCUUCGGGCCUCAUGCCAUCACAUGUGCCCACAUGGGAUUAUCUAUUAGGUGGGGUAAUGGCUCACCUAGGCGACAAUCCCUAUCUGGUCUGAGAGGAUGACCAGCCACACUGGAACUGAGACACGGUCCAGACUCCUACGGGAGGCAGCAGUGGGGAAUAUUGCACAAUGGGCGCAAGCCUGAUGCACCCAUGCCGCGUGUGUGAAAAAAGCCUUCGGGUUGUAAAGCACUUUCUCCGGGGAGGAAGGCGUUAAGGUUAAUAACCUUGGCGAUUGACGUUACCCGCAGAAAAAACACCGGCUAACUCCGUGCCACCACCCGCGGUAAUACGGAGGGUGCAAGCGUUAAUCGGAAUUACUGGGCGUAAAGCGCACGCAGGCGGUCUGUCAAGUCGGAUGUGAAAUCCCCGGGCUCAACCUGGGAACUGCAUUCGAAACUGGCAGGCUAUAGUCUUGUAGAGGGGGGUAGAAUUCCAGGUGUAUCGGUGAAAUGCGUAUAGAUCUGGAGGAAUACCGGUGGCGAAGGCGGCCCCCUGUACAAAGACUGACGCUCACGUGCGAAAGCGUGUGGAGCAAACAGGAUUAUAUACCCUGUUAGUCCACGCCGUAAA
rnacentral:rRNA from 1 species